rnacentral:rRNA from 1 species
UUUCUUGAGAGUUUGAUCCUGGCUCAGAAUCAACGCUGGCGGCGUGCCUAACACAUGCAAGUCGAGCGAGAAAGGGGCUUCGGCCCUGAGUACAGCGGCGCACGGGUGAGUAACACGUGGGUAACCUGCCUCGAAGUGGGGAAUAACACCGGGAAACCGGUGCUAAUACCGCAUACGAUGGCGGAGUCUUCGGAUUCUGUCAUGAAAGGAGCAAUUCGCUUUGAGAGGGGCCCGCGGCUGAUUAGCUAGUUGGUGGGGUAAUGGCUCACCAAGGCGACGAUCAGUAGCCGGUCUGAGAGGACGGUCGGCCACACUGGAACUGAGACACGGUCCAGACUCCUACGGGAGGCAGCAGUGGGGAAUUUUUGGCAAUGGGGGAAACCCUGACCAAGCAACGCCGCGUGGGUGAUGAAGUCUCUUGGGACGUAAAACCCUUUCGACAGGGACGAAACCGCAAGGUUGACGGUACCUGUAGAAGAAGCCCCGGCUAACUCCGUGCCAGCAGCCGCGGUAAUACGGGGGGGGCAAGCGUUGUUCGGAAUUACUGGGCGUAAAGGGCGCGUAGGCGGCUCGCUAAGUCGGAUGUGAAAACUCUGGGCUCAACCCAGAGCCUGCAUCCGAAACUGGCGGGCUAGAGUUCUGGAGGGGAAAGCGGAAUUCCUGGUGUAGCGGUGAAAUGCGUAGAUAUCAGGAGGAACACCGGUGGCGAAGGCGGCUUUCUGGACAGAAACUGACGCUGAGGCGCGAAAGCUAGGGGAGCAAACAGGAUUAGAUACCCUGGUAGUCCUAGCCCUAAACGAUGGAUACUUGCUGUGAGGGGGAUUGAAUCCCUUCGUGGCGAAGCUAACGCAUUAAGUAUCCCGCCUGGGGAGUACGGUCGCAAGGCUGAAACUCAAAGGAAUUGACGGGGGCCCGCACAAGCGGUGGAGUAUGUGGUUUAAUUCGACGCAACGCGAAGAACCUUACCUGGGCUCGAACGGCUGGUGACAGGGGGCGAAAGUCUCUUUUCCCGCAAGGGACAUCAGUCGAGGUGCUGCAUGGCUGUCGUCAGCUCGUGUCGUGAGAUGUUGGGUUAAGUCCCGCAACGAGCGCAACCCUUGCUCUUAGUUGCCAUCAGGUCAAGCUGGGCACUCUAAGAGGACUGCCGGUGAAAAACCGGAGGAAGGUGGGGAUGACGUCAAGUCCUCAUGGCCUUUAUGUCCAGGGCUACACACGUACUACAAUGGGCGGUACAAAGAGUCGCAAACCCGCGAGGGGGAGCCAAUCUCAAAAAGCCGUUCUCAGUUCGGAUUGCAGUCUGCAACUCGACUGCAUGAAGCUGGAAUCGCUAGUAAUCGCUGAUCAGCAAGCAGCGGUGAAUACGUUCCCGGGCCUUGUACACACCGCCCGUCACAUCACGAAAGCCAGUUGUACUAGAAGCCGGUAAUUCAACCGCAAGGAGAUAGCCGUCCAAGGUAUGACUGGUGAUUGGGGUGAAGUCGUAACAAGGUAGCCGUAGGAGAACCUGUGGCUGGAUCACCUCCUUUCU